rnacentral:misc_RNA from 1 species
AGUCAUCAGGGUCAUGAUCUUUAAUUAAUCAUGGCUUGGAUUUGGAGGUUAUGUUGGCUUUCAGUCGACUCCUCUUAAAUGUAUUAGCUCAGUGUUUAAUGCUUAGAGCGGUUCACGGUGUGAUAAAUUAUCUACACUUCAACUAAUCUAAGUUAGCUGGCUUCUAAUAGAUCCUUUGUGAUCACUUUGUGU